rnacentral:rRNA from 1 species
GAUGAACGCUGGCGGCGUGCCUAAUACAUGCAAGUCGAGCGAACGGACGAGAAGCUUGCUUCUCUGAUGUUAGCGGCGGACGGGUGAGUAACACGUGGAUAACCUACCUAUAAGACUGGGAUAACUUCGGGAAACCGGAGCUAAUACCGGAUAAUAUUUUGAACCGCAUGGUUCAAAAGUGAAAGACGGUCUUGCUGUCACUUAUAGAUGGAUCCGCGCUGCAUUAGCUAGUUGGUAAGGUAACGGCUUACCAAGGCAACGAUGCAUAGCCGACCUGAGAGGGUGAUCGGCCACACUGGAACUGAGACACGGUCCAGACUCCUACGGGAGGCAGCAGUAGGGAAUCUUCCGCAAUGGGCGAAAGCCUGACGGAGCAACGCCGCGUGAGUGAUGAAGGUCUUCGGAUCGUAAAACUCUGUUAUUAGGGAAGAACAUAUGUGUAAGUAACUGUGCACAUCUUGACGGUACCUAAUCAGAAAGCCACGGCUAACUACGUGCCAGCAGCCGCGGUAAUACGUAGGUGGCAAGCGUUAUCCGGAAUUUAUGGGCGUNAAGCGCGCGUAGGCGGUUUUUUAGUCUGAUGUGAAAGCCCACGGCUCAACCGUGGAGGGUCAUUGGAAACUGGAAAACUUGAGUGCAGAAGAGGAAAGUGGAAUUCCAUGUGUAGCGGUGAAAUGCGCAGAGAUAUGGAGGAACACCAGUGGCGAAGGCGACUUUCUGGUCUGUAACUGACGCUGAUGUGCGAAAGCGUGGGGAUCAAACAGGAUUAGAUACCCUGGUAGUCCACGCCGUAAACGAUGAGUGCUAAGUGUUAGGGGGUUUCCGCCCCUUAGUGCUGCAGCUAACGCAUUAAGCACUCCGCCUGGGGAGUACGACCGCAAGGUUGAAACUCAAAGGAAUUGACGGGGACCCGCACAAGCGGUGGAGCAUGUGGUUUAAUUCGAAGCAACGCGAAGAACCUUACCAAAUCUUGACAUCCUUUGACAACUCUAGAGAUAGAGCCUUCCCCUUCGGGGGACAAAGUGACAGGUGGUGCAUGGUUGUCGUCAGCUCGUGUCGUGAGAUGUUGGGUUAAGUCCCGCAACGAGCGCAACCCUUAAGCUUAGUUGCCAUCAUUAAGUUGGGCACUCUAAGUUGACUGCCGGUGACAAACCGGAGGAAGGUGGGGAUGACGUCAAAUCAUCAUGCCCCUUAUGAUUUGGGCUACACACGUGCUACAAUGGACAAUACAAAGGGCAGCGAAACCGCGAGGUCAAGCAAAUCCCAUAAAGUUGUUCUCAGUUCGGAUUGUAGUCUGCAACUCGACUACACGAAGCUGGAAUCGCUAGUAAUCGUAGAUCAGCAUGCUACGGUGAAUACGUUCCCGGGUCU